rnacentral:rRNA from 1 species
AUGCAAAUCUUUGUGACGGAAACGCUAGAAGGCAGGACCAUCACUCUCGAAGUCGACAGCCUAGACACCAUUGACAACGUGAAGGCCAAGAUCGAAGACAUUGGGGGCUUUCCCAAGGUCCAGCAGUGCCUCAUCUUUGCCAACAAGCAGCUGGAGGACGAAAAGCUCACCUUGGCCGACCACAACAUUUGUAAAGGGUCCACUCUUCUCCUUAUCCUCCUCCCAUGUAGUCCAACUUUUGUGAUGCAAGUAUUCGUGAAGAUGCCGCAAGGGAAGGUCCUCACCCUUCAAGUCGGGCAAUCGGAUACCAUCAACAGUGUCAACGUGAAGAUCUAUGAGAAGAACGGCGUUCCCCCUAGACAGCAGCGCAUCAUCUUUGCUGGCAAUCAGCUGGAGGACCACCGCACCCUGGCGGACUACAAGAUUUACAGCGACUCUACCCUUCAUUUGGUGUUCCACCUUUGUGGUUGCUGA